rnacentral:lncRNA from 1 species
AUUAGCUCCUAGCUCAGGAAAGUUUUCAGUUUCUUCAAUAAGAUUGUACUACUACAUUCCUUUCAGCGGUAUUAUAUAUUUGCAAAGCUUGGUUUUUGACAGUUGCUGUGAUAAAUAACAAUUACCACAUGAAAAGCAAUGGUGGAUGAGGAUGGCAGUGACCAAUCUGAUUUCAAAGUUUGAGAAGUUGUGCAGUGCCCAGUAGAUGCACACAUCCAAUUAGUAAGUACGUGUGGUUAUUUACAGAUGGAAUAAAAACAUACUUUCCUUCAGUUCAUGAGUAUCGUUGUUUUAAAAAAAUGGCUACUAAGUUGUUAGGACCCAAACCAAACAACAGACAAACAGAAAAACAAAAUACUUUACCAAGUAGGGUUCUAACUACUUUGUAAAUAAAACAGUUGGUUAUUUUCUUUGAUCUGGGCAUGCUGAGGAAGUCACAGAGUCACUAAGGAUCCCUCCAAAGAUAGAAAUUUUGUGAACCUCUGGUAUAAUCUGAUGAUCAUUUACAUAAUUACUGACCUUUUAUGUUUAUUCAAGAUCUGUUUAUGUUGGCCUGUCAUGUGUUUUUUUAAAAUUUUAUUUAUUUAUUCGUGAGAGACAUAGAGAGAGAGGCGCAGACACAGACAGAGGAGAAGCAGGCUCCAUGCAGGGAGUGCGAUGCGGAACUCGAUCCCAGGACUCCAGAAUCAUGCCCUGGGCCAAAGGCAGGUGCCAAACCGCUGAGCCACCUGGGGAUCCCCGGCCUGUCAUGUGUUUUUGAUGUUAUUUAAAAAUGUUGCCCCUGAUAGUUCAGUGCACUGAUAGGUCAGAGAUUGGCAUUUCUGAAGCUCAUUCUUCUGGAUGAUAUUUCGGAAGUCAGAUGCCUGCAAUGACUUCGUUGACUCCAAGAAAAAAAUUUGAGUUGAAAAAUCUUCUUUUUUUGCAUCACAUCCAUGGGUAUAGAAGUCCUGGAUACCUGGACUGCUGGUUUCCAUGAGUCCUUGAUGUCCUACCAAGGAAGACGUCCUCACAUCUUGCAGCAGGAACCCAUUGAUACGGCGCCCACCUUGACUUCCGAAUGGGACAGCGCAUCCUCAGAAGCAACGGUGAUGGCGGUGAUGGCGCCUGCAUCACACAUCGAAGACGCUUGUGCUGAUAGCUCAAGCCCUUGAAAACCCAGCCAAGGUCAGUGUCGUAUCCUC